rnacentral:rRNA from 1 species
UACAGAGGGUGCGAGCGUUGUCCGGAAUCACGUGGCGUAAAGGGCGCGUAGGUGGCGGCCCAAGUCCAUGGUGAAAGCUCGAUGCUCAACAUCGAGUCGGCCACGGGAUACUGGGUUGCUCGAGCACUGUAGGGGCAGAUGGAAUUCCGGGUGUAGCGGUGGAAUGCGUAGAGAUCCGGGAAGAACACCGGUGGCGAAGGCGGUCUGCUGGGCAGUUGCUGACACUGAGGCGCGACAGCGUGGGAGCAACAGG